UCUGUUUAAACUCUGGUAAAUAUCUAGUAGGAGUCAAAAACUCGGACUGUUUGGUAUAUAAAUAUAAAUGUGAAAAUAUUUGUUAUCUCUUUCUGCUGUUUAAUUUAUUUAAAGAUAGGGCGGACCUGCUGUGGCGGAAUACAAAGGUCUUUAGCAGCUGCUGAGACACCUUUUUCAGAGUCUUUGUUCUCCGUCAGAGAGGGAAUCAGCCCACUUAGAUGAUAAAAAUUCCUCUGUUUGUAUAAAUGAAGGUUUCAGUUUGCUCUGAUUUGUGAAUUUACUGUAUUAAAUUGAAUUUUAAAGUUCUAAGGUUGAUUUAAAAGUAUCCAUUUAUAACAUUUCAAAGAACAAAGGAACUUUUAUUUACAGCUUCCUUAUCUCUUUUGGUGCUCGGAGACUCCCAGCUAACAACUUCACAGGGCGGAAAGAUUUACAGGCCUGUGACAUCAUAGUCCAACGUGGAACUAAGGCUGAAGUUACUAUUAACUCUUUAUAGACCCCGUUAACCGUUUGUUUAACUUACUGUUUUCAGUUAUUAGGAUCCUCAGAGAGGACAUAACCUGGACUUUCCCUUCCUCUCUCAUCCUGAUUCUAAUAGCAUCUGUAACUGGAUUAAAAAUCUUUUCUUUCAGGAGGCCAUCCAGGCUUUAAGCUCACAAGAAAUCUUCUCCUGCGAGAGGAGAGAGGGACCCCCCGGAAGGGGCUGGAGGCUCUCCCUCCUGCGAGAGGAGAGAGGGACCCCCCGGAAGGGGCUGGAGGCUCUCCCUCUCAACAGGGACAGGAAGAAACUGAAAGCUGGAAUUCAUAACCAUUCCCUUACUCAAGUCCUUACAGGCUGUGCAGUAUACCCAGAAAGCCACCCAUAAGCUUGUUCCUGUACAACCCUUCCAGCCCAAGGACUCGGUAUAGGUAAAGAAGUUCACUGCCCAAGGACUCACCCCAACCUGGAAGGGAUGCUACACUGUUAUCCUGAGCACGCCCACGGCUGUUGAAGUAGACAGCGUCCAGACCUGGCUACACCACUCCCAGCUCCUGCACCAGGAAACGGCCUUGGUCCUGGCAACCAGCGGCCUCACCCGUGAGAUCCCUAGCCUGGGCUCCACGCAGGCCAGGAGGAAACUCAACACCUGCAGGAGAAGAACUGGAAUUCACUGUGGACAGUACUGUUGGGGACUGUAGUACUAAAGGCCUUAACCAGAAGUAAAAGACAAAGUAAAAAUGCAAACCGUCUCAUGAUUGAGCCGGGUGUCCCAAGACAAGGGGGGAAUGAAAGGGCAGAGCAGGACAGCACAAAAUGUACUGUACCCUCCACCCUGUGUAACUAUGUAUAUAACUCCUUUUUCUUAGAAAACCGCGAGAAUGUAACAAUUGCAUGAACCUGCCAAUAGGAAUGUAGAGAGAUGGACUCAGUCCACCUUAAGCAAGCUACCCAGUGUGCCUUUGUGUAACUGGACCCCUCACCCUACCCCUGACCAAUCAUAAACACUCUCCCUGCCCACUGCUUGAGACCCCCUUAAAGCCUUUGUGUUGGCGAGAGAAUUUCUCUUGGUCCCCGGUGAGCGCUGGAGAUGAGAGCUCGUGCUAGCACGAAUAAAGGUUCUCUUGCAGUUA